rnacentral:rRNA from 1 species
GAGGAGCCUGCGGCGGAUUAGCUAGUUGGCAGGGUAACGGCCUACCAAGGCGACGAUCCGUAGCCGGCCUGAGAGGGCGGUCGGCCACACUGGCACUGACACACGGGCCAGACUCCUACGGGAGGCAGCAGUCGGGAAUUUUGGGCAAUGGGCGAAAGCCUGACCCAGCAACGCCGCGUGAAGGAUGAAGCUUUUCGGAGUGUAAACUUCAUAAGAAUGGGACGAAUAAGAGAGGGCUAAUACCCCUUUUGAUGACGGUACCAUUUGUAAGCUCCGGCUAACUCCGUGCCAGCAGCCGCGGUAAUACGGGGGGAGCAAGCGUUGUUCGGAUUUACUGGGCGUAAAGGGCGCGUAGGCGGCGCAACAAGUCACUUGUGAAAUCUCCGGGCUUAACCCGGAGCGGCCAAGUGAUACUGUCGUGCUAGAGUGCGGAAGGGGCUACUGGAAUUCUCGGUGUAGCGGUGAAAUGCGUAGAUAUCGAGAGGAACACCUGCGGCGAAGGCGGGUAGCUGGGCCGACACUGACGCUGAUGCGCGAAAGCCAGGGGAGCGAACGGGAUUAGAUACCCCGGUAGUCCUGGCCUUAAACGAUGGAUACUUGGUGU